AUGUAUGUGUCCAUUUUAUGGUAGAAUUAUUUGCAAAGGGAGAAGAAUAUAGUAAGAUACACACUAAAUUGUUAAAAUGGAUUAACUAUGGGAGGAAUUGUGAAAAGAGAGUAAAAAUGCCAAGCAAAAAAUGCAAAAGACAAGUUAUACUAAGAACAAUAAAAAUUCUACUUAUGGAUUAUAAUAAAAUUCAGGAUAUUUGAAUAUAUAUUGUGAAUAAAUUAAGUAUUUAAAAUAUUAUGGCUACUUUUGAGGCUAAUGAGUUCUUAUUUCUGAAUGUUUUGGCAUCCAGGAAGACUGCUUUUUUCCUUUACAUUUACAUUUUCUUUAAUUUUGUAUUACUUGCCACCAGACAUUUGUACUGUUCUCUUAAAUCUUUAGAUGAUCUUUUAACCUUUCAUGUCAGAAAAACUUAUCUACAAAUGAUGUAUAGUUUGGGAUCAGAUGAAACUCUAUAGGCCAAACCUGCAUCAGGGCUGACAUGCAGCUGAUAACCUUGGUAAAAUUUUAGGGAUAAGUUUCAGUUUGUUCGGUGUUCAUUUUUUUUUUGAUAUUACAAAUUAAUUAUAAUGCCAAGUGUACAUGAAGUAGUGCCUUGCACAUAGAAUUUAGCUGAUAAGUACUUGCUGAUUUGACUCCAUAAAUUAUAGGUAUAAUAAUGAUUUCAACAAGGUAAUAAAAUGUAAAAAUGAAGAAAUUACAGGUAUCAGAAGGAAGAAUAGAAGUAAAUGUAAUAUUAUUGUAGGCAAAAUGCUUGAUUUCUGUGUCUCAGAUUCUUAAUAUUUAAAAUAUUGAUAGUUGUAUUUUGCUUACUUCACACAACUUAUGUGAGGGUCAAAUUAAAUUAAUAAAUGUUGAUGUGCUUUAAAAAGCAUAAUGCAUUAUACAAAGAAUUAUGAUGUUGAAACUCUGAAGGGAGUAAUUUUUUUCCCUUAAUGGUUAUUUAUCUGUAUUUCCAGUUGCAUGCUUGAUAUUAAACCUCUUAACAUAUUAGAAAUAGAAAAUAUUGCUAAUGAAGCUUUCAAAACCUCAGCCAAACUAAUCAAUGAAAUCUAUGGAAGUUAUGAAUAUGGUCCAUUGCUUAAAGUCUAAGAUCUUUAGAAUUUCUUUAUUUCUUCCUGGUCAUUGAGGGACAUUUUUCAUCCAGGUACAUCUGAUGAUCUUUUGUUCCAUUAUAGGAAUAUGGAAAUCUUUUGAGGGGAAAUCAAGGCCUUUAUUCUAUCUGGACACAAUGAUAAUGCUGUAUUAUUUUGACAUAACAAAUGGCCCUGGGCAGUUAAGCACAAUUUUGUAAUUUGUUGUUAUAUUUCAUUCGAAAUUCUUUAAUUUAUACCUACAGUUAAUAGUGACUACAGCAUGAAUACUCUAUAUAGUAAAAUCUUUUAUAAUAUUUUAGUUACCAAACACCAAAUAUGCCAUUGGCUAGUUUUCUGGAUGUGGGAAAACCAGGAAAUACCUAUAGUAUUUAGUAGUUUAAGAGCACCACUACAAAAAGAUUUAAAACAUAUUUUAUUACAAAAAUGGAUAGAAUAUUAACAUACCUUACUCUUAAAGGUACCUAGAUUCUGGUUUGGAGAGAGUGGAAUAAACAAAUGUGUCUAAGUCUGAAUAAAUUACAUUAUACUUGACUCUUUUUUCCAGUAGUAUAUCAUAGUAUGACCCCUACCUUGAAAUUUUCUUAUCUGGGGGCUGGGGAUAUGGCUCACGUGGUAGAGUGCUUGCCUCACAUGCACAAGGCCCUGGGAUCAAUCCCAAGCACCACCAAAAAACAAACAAACUUUCUUGUCUCAAUUAUUUGAUUUUUGCUUUCAUCAUAAACUUGCUCUUUCACUAAGCUAUCCUUUUUCUAGUACUGGAUAUGAUUGUUAUAAGAGAGUUAAAAAAAAUAUUUUAAAAGACAACAGUCUUUUUCAUUUCUUUAAAUAGUAAAAACUACCUGAAU
rnacentral:lncRNA from 1 species